AACGCGAAGAACCUUACCAACCCUUGACAUCCUGUGCUACUACCAGAGAUGGUACGUUCCCUUCGGGGACGCAGUGACAGGUGCUGCAUGGCUGUCGUCAGCUCGUGUCGUGAGAUGUUCGGUUAAGUCCGGCAACGAGCGCAACCCACAUCUUUAGUUGCCAUCAGGUUAUGCUGGGCACUCUAGAGAAACUGCCCGUGAUAAGCGGGAGGAAGGUGUGGAUGACGUCAAGUCCUCAUGGCCCUUACGGGUUGGGCUACACACGUGCUACAAUGGCAGUGACAAUGGGUUAAUCCCAAAAAACUGUCUCAGUUCGGAUUGGGGUCUGCAACUCGACCCCAUGAAGUCGGAAUCGCUAGUAAUCGCGUAACAGCAUGACGCGGUGAAUACGUUCCCGGGUC
rnacentral:rRNA from 1 species